rnacentral:lncRNA from 1 species
GUCUCUCAGAUACCUAGAGUUGAAGCGUAUCCCACCGCACUGCCUCGAGGGGCUGAGGGCUGUCUACUCUCAACUUGAGGUGUUCAUCUGCUCUAAAAGUCUGCAUUCUGUGGAGGUAAGAACCCUUUCUUCUAGCAAUUCAAAUUACACUAGCAAAUGUUUUUCAAAGCAUAACAUUUUUUGAAAAUUACACCUAGAUAUUAAAAACUGUGACGAAUGUUAAUGUACAAGAACAUUGUUAUUCUUAAGUAACUGUCAAAAGCUAUUUCAUACUCUUUGGUCACAGGUUAGUUUUCA